CUUGAACCUAUCGAUUUAUGGCUAGCGUAGAUAAUCUUUAUUAUCUAUGAUGGCUAGAAAGUACAAUUGAGCGGCUCUUCAGUUAUCAGUGGCACCGCCGCACUACAUUCUAAAAUAUCGAGAACAUGAUCGAUGGAUUUCUUUUUAAUUUAUGUCUGGCUUUUCUGUACCCACGGCCUUUUCCUAAAAAUAUAAUUGGCAACACUGGAAAUAUCGAACACGUCAUGCUCACCGAUGAUUUGGAUACGAUGAAGUGGCAACGACACGGUCGGCGGGGGUCGGGGGACGGCCAUCAAAUGUUAUACGCGAGGUUCCAAUCUUGGUUCUACACAUACGCUGUUCGUUUCCAGUCCUUAAAAUCCUUAGUUCUUAUACUCACAGACGGACCAUACGAGGCAAUCGCGGCCAUAGAUAUAUAUUAUAGAGCCUUUCUCGGAGGAUCGUAUUACUACUAUUAUCUGUGUUAAUUUUUAACAGUCUGAUCAUACAUUUAUGUUCAUUAUAAAUUGUGUGUAUUUGACAAAUUGGACGUAUACAAUACUACGACUCAUUACCAUUUGAAAUAUUUUGAUCAAAAUAUUCAGCCUGUAAUGCGUCAAAAGCAGUAAUUGCAGAGAUCUUACCAGAAAAGGACUCAUUAAAAACGCACAGGUUCUGCGCACUUUUUUCCCCUUCCACCAGUCAUUACCUAUGCGCACAGUUAGUUGGGAACCGGUCGCCGCCGAAAGAAAUAUAGAUUUCUUUUUUUCAAAGGUAAAUACAGUCAACUCUGGCGACUUGAAUCUUGAUAACUCAAAAUUUUCGAUAUCUCAAACAAAUAAAAAUUUUCUUCAAAUAAUAUUAACACAUUAAGAUUUUGAUAAUUUUUAGUAUGUUAAAUUUUUUUUCCUCUGUGAACUUUGAGUUACCGAGAGUCGACUGUACUUGUAUAAAUGAAAAGUGUUUUGCAUGAAUAUUUAUUUAAAUUAUAUAAAUAUAAAUUUUCGAUUUAUUAUUAUUUGAUGUGAGGCUAAUAUUAAAGCUACAAUACAAUUUAACUGCUUACAGCAUUUUGGUUUUUGAGUAAGGUAGAUAUUCAAGAAUGAUGUAUUAUAUUAAUAAUUAUCUAUUGUGUUAUAUAGUACUUUAAACAUUAAGUAUGAAUUAUACUUAACAUAAUAUUAAACAUGUUUACCAAUAAUCAUCCAAGACCUUAUAUAGAGAUAUAAAAUGUUGUUUCAUUUUACUAGAAGUAUAUAAAGUAAUUUUUUCUUCCAUAU